UGUUCUCUUGCCCAAGGGACUCCUCUUUUAUCCCAAGCAAACUCGCUCAAAGUCACUACCAGACCCUCGACCACAAACCAUGCCCAUGCCCCAUCUCAGCCACCCUAUGACCUAAUCCCAUACAAAUUCUACGAAGACAAGCGACUGGAACGCCCUUCGUUGCAACAUUACAACAUUCAAGCAAGUCAAUGCGGUGCCCCCACUAUCCUAUACCUAGGGUGUUUUAAAAAUUAAGAGAUUUGGAAAGAUUGAAGAAGAGAGAUUGAAAUGCUUCAAUGCAGCUGAAGAACACAGAAAAGGGUAAUGCCUUUUCUGGUGAGAAGACAAAGACUGCCAGAUCUCAAGGGAGGAAGUUCAAAUAACUGUUGAACAUGAAAGACCAAGGUGAUCCACUUGUUGUUCUCUUUUUUCCUAUUUAUACUGUAUACUCUGGAUGCUAUUUGAUUUUAACUGAUGCACGACAUUAGGGAAU